GUUUGUGGCUGCAUGCCUACACAUGCAGUCGAGCGGAAACGAGUUAUCUGAACCUUCGGGGGACGAUAACGGCGUCGAGCGGCGGACGGGUGAGUAAUGCCUAGGAAAUUGCCCUGAUGUGGGGGAUAACCAUUGGAAACGAUGGCUAAUACCGCAUGAUGCCUACGGGCCAAAGAGGGGGACCUUCGGGCCUCUCGCGUCAGGAUAUGCCUAGGUGGGAUUAGCUAGUUGGUGAGGUAAGGGCUCACCAAGGCAACGAUCCCUAGCUGGUCUGAGAGGAUGAUCAGCCACACUGGAACUGAGACACGGUCCAGACUCCUACGGGAGGCAGCAGUGGGGAAUAUUGCACAAUGGGCGCAAGCCUGAUGCAGCCAUGCCGCGUGUAUGAAGAAGGCCUUCGGGUUGUAAAGUACUUUCAGUCGUGAGGAAGGUGGGUGUGUUAAUAGCACAUUCAUUUGACGUUAGCUGCAGAAGAAGCACCGGCUAACUCCGUGCCAGCAGCCGCGGUAAUACGGAGGGUGCGAGCGUUAAUCGGAAUUACUGGGCGUAAAGCGCAUGCAGGUGGUUUGUUAAGUCAGAUGUGAAAGCCCGGGGCUCAACCUCGGAAUAGCAUUUGAAACUGGCAGACUAGAGUACUGUAGAGGGGGGUAGAAUUUCAGGUGUAGCGGUGAAAUGCGUAGAGAUCUGAAGGAAUACCGGUGGCGAAGGCGGCCCCCUGGACAGAUACUGACACUCAGAUGCGAAAGCGUGGGGAGCAAACAGGAUUAGAUACCCCUGGUAGUCCACGCCGUAAACGAUGUCUACUUGGAGGUUGUGGCCUUGAGCCGUGGCUUUCGGAGCUAACGCGUUAAGUAGACCGCCUGGGGAGUACCGUCGCGAGAUUAAAACUCAAAUGAAUUGACGGGGGCCCGCACCAGCCGGUGGAGCAUGUGGUUUAAUUCCAUGCACCGCCAAGAAUCCUACCUACUCUGACAUCAGAGAACUUUUCCGAAGAUGGAUUGGUGCCUUCGGGAACUCCGAAAAAGGUCGCUGCAGGGCUGUCCUCACCUCCUGUUGUGAAAUGUUGGGUUAAGCUCCGGCACCAACCGCAACCGUAACCUGGUUGCCUCACCCAAUUAUGUCCGGGAAACCCAA
rnacentral:rRNA from 1 species